CAGUAGCCGCGGGAAAACGAAGGGGGCUAGCGUUGCUCGGAAUGACUGGGCGUAAAGGGCGCGUAGGCGGAUUGUUUAGUUAGGCGUGAAAUUCCUGGGCUUAACCUGGGGACUGCGCUUAAUACAGGCAGUCUAGAGUGAGGAAGAGGGUUGUGGAAUUUCCGGUGUAGCGGUGAAAUGCGUAGAUAUCGGAAGGAACACCUGUGGCGAAAGCGGCUCACUGGACCAUAACUGACGCUGAGGCACGAAAGCUAGGGGAGCAAACAGGAUUAGAUACCCGUGUAGUCCCUGUCUCUUAUAC
rnacentral:rRNA from 1 species